rnacentral:rRNA from 1 species
AUUGAACGCUGGCGGCAUGCCUAACACAUGCAAGUCGAGCGGAGCGGCGGCCGGGUGAGUAACGCGUAGGUAACUGCCUCAUAGCGUGGGGUAACUAUUGGAAACGAUAGCUAAUACCGCAUACUGUGAGAUGGCCCUGCGUUGUAUUCGCUAGUUGGUGAGGUAAAGGCUCCCCAAGGCGACGAUACAUAGCCGAGCUGAGAGGGUGAGCUGCCAAACUGGGUCUGAGACACGGGCCAGACUCCUACGGGAGGCAGCAGGAGGGAAACUGCGGACAUGGAGGGAAGUCUGACCGAGCAAAGCCGCGGUAGUGAAGAAGGUGUUUGGAUCGUAAAGCUAUGUUGUGAGAGAAGCGGUAACUAACCAGAAAGGGACGGCUAACUACGUGCCAGCAGCCGCGGUAAUAC